rnacentral:misc_RNA from 1 species
AAAUUAAAAAAAGAAAGAAAGAAAGAACCCAACACAAAAUAAAUAAAUAAAUAAAUAAAAUACUUGCCUUAUAUUAAUUUACCUUGAUAAACCAAAAUCAGCUAUCUUGAGAAUCACAUCAGCCUCCUGCCCAGAUAGUAGAAUGUUCUAUUCUAACCAAGAGACCAAUGUAAGCUGACUUCCAAGAAUUUCAAGCUUUGAGUACCAACUACAAACUUCAUAAAUAGAAAAAGUUUAAACGAAUAUCAUACCUCUGGUUUCAAGUCUCUAUGAAUGAUAUGGUGGCUUUGUAGAAUUUCCAGACCAGCC